GGAAAAUCAUCCUCCAGUUUCCUCACAUAUUCGCCGCUACUUCCCUCCCUCCCUCCCUCUCUGUCUCUCCCUCUCUCCCUCAACCACCGCGACGAGCUCCUCUUCUUCUCCCCGACGCCUCCCUCGGCAUCACCUACGAUGGCUCAUCUUCUACUCCCUAAUUCCUCCUAUCUCUUUUUCCCCAAUUCCCCAAACCCUAAUUUGUGAAGGUGAGGCCAUGGUCGAAGAUUGGUUUGGAUAUGAAACCUUAAUCGUCGAAGGCGCGGCGUCUAUGAGUGAGGUGAUGGAUGUAGUUUUUCGAGGUUUGAAACCCUAAUCAGCGAAGCUAAAGAGGUGAGGGAAAAGGGUCAAAGCUAACAGAAGGAGUAGCUUGUGUGUUUUGAGGUAGGUAAUUUCAACUCAUCUUUGUAUAUCUUUCAUAUCAACCCAAAGGUUGUUGUAGUUUAGAGCAAAUGAGAAAUGUUCCUAGCGACAUCAUGGAGCUCAAGUUGCCUAGGACCUUACAAAUGGUAAUUUAAAGCCUUUUUGCUUAGUUCUAAACUUGAUCCUUUAUCCAAUUUGUUUGAAUUUGAAUUUAACUCAAUGUCCUCUUCAAUUACCUUUUUGACAAGUUCCUCUAUUGACUAUUUGGCAUUGGUAUUGAUGACUACAUUGCUUGAACUGAUGUCUAUAAGGGUAUUUUACAGAAAUUGGCUUUCUCAUUCGACCGAGUGUACUAAAAAGCCAAACAUGGAAUAGACAAGUUGGUUUUCUCAAGUUGUUAUUUUAGUUAACUGAAGCUUGGAGAAGUCACUCCAAAACUAGGGUGCAUGGAUACUUGCUUUGGCUGAAGAGAUUAAGGCAAGAUGUGAGAAGGCUGCUUUCAAAGUUAUGACCCUAUAAGGCAGAUUCUAAAAGAUUUUACGGAAGAUGAAGAAUAUAUUGACUUGAUGGGAGAGGUUGAAGUUGGGAUUUACAAGCUAUGAGAUGGUCAUACAGAGGCUAAGCAAAGAGCAUAUGAAGAAAGUGAAAGACUGGAUACAAGAGCAUGCACAGAUCUUUGAUAUUAUUAGCAAUUAUGGUGAACAAAUAUAUGCAUGUUGCUACUCUUUCUAUUGUAAAGCUUGUAGGUUUAGGUAUAUAUCGAAUGGUAGGAUAUUGUGUUCUAGUUUGCUAUACUAUAUGAAUCGAUUGUACUUGAAUCAAUUGUACUUUUUGGUUAUA